GGAGGAAAAGAAACCAACAGGGAUUCCCUUAGUAACGGCGAGUGAACCGGGAAAAGCUCAAAUUUGAAAUCUGCCAACAGGCCGAGUUGUAAUUUGUAGAUGGCUACACUGCAUAAUAGUAGAUGCUCAAGUUCUUUGGAAAAAGACAUCAUGGAGGGUGACAAUCCCGUGAGGCAUGUUACUAGGAGCAUAUAGUGGGCUUUCUAAGAGUCGAGUUGUUUGGGAAUGCAGCUCAAAGUGCGUGGUGAAUACCAUGUAAAGCUAAAUAUGGACGAGAGACCGAUAGCGAACAAGUACUGUGAAGGAAAGAUGAAAAGCACUCCGAAAGGAGAGUGAAAUAGUACGUGAAAUUGUUAAAGUGGAAGGGCUUGAGAUCAGAAUUGGUAGUUUGGGUUCCACGUCCUCUUGGGGGCGUGUACUCCCUUUCCACCGGGCCAGCGGGAGUUUCGUCUCUUGGGUAAAAGCAGUGGAAUGUAGCAGCUUGUCUGUAUUAUAGCCUCUGUUCAUACAAGACGUCGAGACUUGAUUUGUUGGCGUAAUGAUCUCUAGCCACCCGUCUUGAACCACGGACC
rnacentral:rRNA from 1 species